CAGUGCUGCAGCUCCUUUAGAACUUGGGGCGCAGGUUUUCCGGUUUUUAUAGGAAAGCUCCA
rnacentral:snRNA from 1 species